UAGGGAAUCUUCCGCAAUGGGCGAAAGCCUGACGGAGCAAUGCCGCGUGAGUGAAGAGGGCCUUCGGGUCGUAAAACUCUGUUAUAAGAGAAGAACAAAUUGUAGAGUAACUGCUACAGUCUUGACGGUAUCUUAUCAGAAAGCCACGGCUAACUACGUGCCAGCAGCCGCGGUAAUACGUAGGUGGCAAGCGUUGUCCGGAUUUAUUGGGCGUAAAGGGAGCGCAGGUGGUUUCUUAAGUCUGAUGUGAAAGCCCACGGCUUAACCGUGGAGGGUCAUUGGAAACUGGGAAACUUGAGUACAGAAGAGGAAUGUGGAACUCCAUGUGUAGCGGUGGAAUGCGUAGAUAUAUGGAAGAACACCAGUGGCGAAGGCGACAUUCUGGUCUGUUACUGACACUGAGGCUCGAAAGCGUGGGGAGCAAACAGG
rnacentral:rRNA from 1 species